GCUUGCGGCCACACCGGCCUGAGUACGCUUGAUCUCGUCCGAUCUUGGAAGCUAAGCAGGGUCGGGCCUGGUUAGUACUUGGAUGGGAGACCGCCUGGGAAUACCAGGUGCUGUAAGCU
rnacentral:rRNA from 1 species